rnacentral:rRNA from 1 species
GGCGUAGGCGGUCAGGUAAGUGAGACGUGAAAUCCUUCGGCUCAACCGAAGACCUGCGUUUCAAACUGCCUGGCUUGAGUCCGGGAGGGGAGACGGGAAUUCCUGGUGUAGCGGUGAAAUGCGCAGAUAUCAGGAAGAACACCGGUGGCGAAGGCGCGUCUCUGGACCGGUACUGACGCUGAUGCCCGAAAGCGUGGGGAGCAAACA